GAGAGUUUGAUUCUGGCUCAGGACGAACGCUGGCGGCGUGCCUAAUACAUGCAAGUAGAACGCUGAAGAAAGGAGCUUGCUUCUUUUGGAUGAGUUGCGAACGGGUGAGUAACGCGUAGGUAACCUGCCUUGUAGCGGGGGAUAACUAUUGGAAACGAUAGCUAAUACCGCAUAACAGCUUUUGACACAUGUUAGAAGCUUGAAAGAUGCAAUUGCAUCACUACGAGAUGGACCUGCGUUGUAUUAGCUAGUAGGUAGGGUAACGGCCUACCUAGGCGACGAUACAUAGCCGACCUGAGAGGGUGAUCGGCCACACUGGGACUGAGACACGGCCCAGACUCCUACGGGAGGCAGCAGUAGGGAAUCUUCGGCAAUGGGGGCAACCCUGACCGAGCAACGCCGCGUGAGUGAAGAAGGUUUUCGGAUCGUAAAGCUCUGUUGUAAGAGAAGAAUGUGUGUGAGAGUGGAAAGUUCACACAGUGACGUACUUACCAGAAAGG
rnacentral:rRNA from 1 species